rnacentral:rRNA from 1 species
UACAGAGGUCUCAAGCGUUGUUCGGAUUCAUUGGGCGUAAAGGGUGCGUAGGCGGUGAGGUAAGUCUGGUGUGAAAUCCCGGGGCUCAACCCCGGAACUGCACUGGAUACUGCCUUACUUGAGCACUGGAGAGGGAACUGGAAUUUAUGGUGUAGCAGUGAAAUGCGUAGAUAUCGUAAGGAAGACCAGCGGCGAAGGCGAGUUCCUGGACAGUUGCUGACGCUGAGGCACGAAGGCCAGGGGAGCAAACGGG